CUUUCGGGCAUUCCCUAGUACGGCGAGUGAGCGGGAAGAGCUCAAAUUUGAAAUCUGGUAGCCUUCGGCUGCCCGAGUUGUAAUCUAGAGAAGUGUUUUCCGUGCCGGCCCAUGUACAAGUCCCUUGGAACAGGGCGUCAUAGAGGGUGAGAAUCCCGUCCUUGACAUGGACCCCCGGUGCUUUGUGAUACACUUUCAACGAGUCGAGUUGUUUGGGAAUGCAGCUCAAAAUGGGUGGUGAAUUCCAUCUAAAGCUAAAUAUUGGCGAGAGACCGAUAGCGAACAAGUACCGUGAGGGAAAGAUGAAAAGCACUUUGGAAAGAGAGUUAAACAGUACGUGAAAUUGUUGAAAGGGAAACGAUUGAAGUCAGUCAUGCUCUUUGGAUUCAGCCGUUCUGCGGUGUAUUUCCAUUGAGUGGGGUCAACAUCAGUUUUGACCGCUGGAUAAAGGCACUAGGAAGGUAGCACUCUCGGGUGAACUUAUAGCCUAGCGUCAUAUACAGUGGUUGGGACUGAGGAACGCAGCAUGCCUUUAUGGCCGGGAUUCGUCCACGUACAUGCUUAGGAUGUUGACAUAAUGGCUUUAAACGACCCGUCUUGAAACACGGACCAAA
rnacentral:rRNA from 1 species